AGUGACUAAAGCUAAGAAGAAUGAAGUGUGGGGAAAUGGGAGGAGCCUCAUGAAGGGAUGGGUGGGAGGUGGGGUGAAUGGAGAGUAGAUAGAGAAUGUUUUAUCCAGCGUCCAGCCUGUUCUCUGGAGGGGCUGUCUGCUGCUCCAGGCUGAGGGUGGGUCCAGGAUCAGGGGCCCGGGAGAAGGAGAGUUUGGCUAACCAGCACUCUGUUCUGGUGGAUCGGUGAGUACAGAGAGUCAGCCUAAUCAUUUGUGGGGCAAUGAGUGGGAAUUCGGAAGGUCUGUGUGUGGCCUUGUGCCAGGUCAACAAGGGGACAUCUCUUAGAGAGAUCUAAGUCAUGUGAAGAAGGGAAGUUCUUUGCUGUGUCAACUAAAUUAAGGCUGUGGAGGCAGACAUAAUUUGAUAAAUGUUUUGUAAAUCAAAGAGUAUCUGAGACAAGUCUCAGUCAAUUUAGGAAGUUUAUUUUGCCAAGGUUGAGGACACACCCGUGACACAGCCUCAGGAGGUCCUGAUGACAUGUGCCAAGGUGGUCGGGGCGCAGCUCAGUUUUAUACAUUUUAGGGAGGCAUAGGACAUCAAUCAGCACAUACAAAAUGUCCAUUGGUUCAGUCUGGAAAGGCAGGACAACUUGAAGCGAGGAUGGGGCUUCCAGGUAAUAGGUAGAUAAGAGACAAAGGGUUGCAUUCUUUUGAGUUUCUGAUUAGCCUUUACAAAGGAAGUCAUCAGAUACGCAUUUAUCCCAGUGAGCAGAGGGAUGACUUUGAGUUCUGUCUGUCCUCUGUCCACAAACUGUGAGGAAGGUAUGUCAUUUUUUUUACUUUUUUUUUUUUUUUUAAAUCUUAGUAGCUAUUUUUUUGGAAUAGAAGGGGAGGCACGAUGAGAUUUGAGGAACUCAACGCAAAGAUUUUUUACUCAGGGACAGGAUGUAAGCCACGAAUCAUAAAACCUUCUCCAGGUAGUUAAUUUGGACCUGUAGGUUAUCAGCUGGAAGCCAUUUCCAGGACACAAAGGGUAGGAAGAUUGUUUUGAUUCACACUCACAGGGCUCAGGUAAAAGUCACCAUUGUCAACCAGUAUACUUGAAGUUCUUCCUUUUAACAACUGCAAUCAAGUUCUUUAAAGAAACUUCAGAUUGCUCACACAAAAGGACAACCGGUAGCAUUUGCCAUAAAGAAAGGGUGUCUAAGGGCCAGGGGCGGUGGCUCACUCUGUCUGAUGAUUUUCUCAUGGUUAGAUGAGAGUUUUGGGGGAGGAAGGUUUGGGGUUGAAAGACCACAGAGGUAAAGUGCCCUUCUCAGUACUUCAUUCUCAAGGGUUCAAACUGUCAACUUGACUUAUCAUUGUUGAUGUUGGCCUUGGUCACCUGCCUCAGGUAAUGAUUGUCAGGUUUGUCCAUUAUACAGUGACUCUUUCCUCCUUUCCACACUGUAUAGAUGG
rnacentral:lncRNA from 10 species